rnacentral:miRNA from 1 species
GUAGACCCUCCCUCCCAGACCCUCCUACUUCCUGGACAGCAUCCAUGUCAUGUCAUGGAUGCUGUCCAGGAAGUAGGAGGGUCUGGGAGGGAGGGUCUGCUGGAGAU